UUCAAGGACUAAGCCAUGCAAGUCUAAGAAUUAAGUGUGUUAGGCCAAGUCUGCGUACGGCUCAUUAAAUCAGCUCUAAUCUACCCGCUGAAGUUGGGGCUUGCCCUAACCAGCCGGAUAACCUCCAGAAACUAGAGGCUAAUACGUGUAUGAAACACGCCUUUCUCUAUUCAAACGGUGAAGGGAAACCGGACCCGUGGAGAAGGUGUGCAGUUGGCCGGCACCAAAAAUCAACCCGCGGUGAAUGCGGAGUGGGUUUAUCGAUGAAACAGGCCAACCAUAGGGAUAGCGCAUGGCUUCGGCCGGCGCAGGAGCGGACGAAGAUCUGCCCUAUCAUGCUACGAUGGUAGUGUAGUGGACUACCAUGGCUAUCACGGGUAACGGAGGAUCAGGGUUCGAUUCCGGAGAGGGAGCCUGAGAGACGGCUACCACGACUAAGGUCGGCAGCAGGCGCGCAAAUUGCCCAAUACCAAUACUGGUGAGGCAGCGACGAAAAAUAGCAGCUCUGCUUGUCAACUACAUGUGGAGCUUGCAAUGGAUGAUAUUCAAACCCAUCAAUGAGUAUCAAUUGGAGGGCAAGUCUGGUGCCAGCAGCCGCGGUAAUUCCAGCUCCAAUAGCGUAUGCUAAUGCUGUUGCCGUUAAAAAGCUCGUAGUUGGAUUCACAGGAGAGGUUGCGCGAGGCCCAGCGGAGUGCAGCGUUUCCCGGGGGUCAUUGUAUUUCUCGGCGGGCCUGUACUCACCGUUUUGGGAUCCAACCUCGCGCGUACGGCCUCUUGUCUGUUCGUACGUGGAACUGAUUCGCCUGCGGAAGCCUCCUUCACUGGUGGUGGAAGCAACCUUUCGCCCAACACACGGGCAUACGGCGCGUCCACGGAUGUUACUGUGAACAAAACAGCGCGUUCAAGGCAACCGUGAAUUUUUCUGGUUGAAUGCUCCAGCAUGGGAUAACAAGGCAUGGACCAAAGGGCCCAUCGUUUUGUUGGUUUUCCAGACCCUUCUGGGCAAUGCAGAGCUGGAAGCGUAACAGAAGGCUGCGUGUUGGGUUCGUCCCAUCGCGUGACCCUCUGUUUUCCAGUCUCUACCCCGGAUCAAUAGGAGCCAUCGGGGAGAUACGUAUUGCUGCGCUAGUGGUGAAAUACUUAGACCGCAGCAAGACGAACAACUGCGAAAGC
rnacentral:rRNA from 1 species